CAGGCGAGGAAGGGGCGGGGCGCGGGGACCUGGACUGGAAACCGCGCCGGCCGGCGGCAGGGAGGAGGCCCCCGCCUCGCGGAACGGGGGGCGGGGAGGAAGCGCGGGAAGCUGGGGUCCUGACGCGGAACUGCUGCUGUGUUGUAGCAGUCUGGCUGGUGGCAGGGAGGGCAGAGAACGGGAAUCAAACUGGGGCUCCGGGAAGGCGUUCACCGGGACCGGACUGGGUCCAGGCCCGCCACGGCCCCCUGCGGAAGCCAGGAGGUCGCGCUCGCAGCGUCGGCUCGGACCGCACCCCCUCCACUGUGACCCCCGAGCGGGCAGGCGGAGCCAGGACGCUACGCUUCGGCGGGCGCCCUCCGCAGGCAGCCUGGGCUCCGCGGCGCAGGCCGCAUCUUCCGCCUCUUGAGCCUGGAAGCUUCUGAGGACGGCUUCACCAAACCAAGACCCAUCUUGUUGUGUUGCCCUGGCUGGCCUCGGAAGAUUUCUCCUGCCUCAGCCUCCCUGAAUACCUUGAACUGCAGGGUCUCCGUUGACUUACCCGCGGGCCGGGACAAGUGGCGCCCAACGUGCGGCCAGAGAACGGGGGAUCCAGUGAAGGACGCUGCUCAGGGGCCCUAAGAUUAAGAUUGAGGAACAAAGAGCACACUCGACACAGGAGAGGCUUGCAAUUGACGUAGACCUGCCGUCUUUUCGCACCUCG
rnacentral:lncRNA from 1 species